rnacentral:rRNA from 1 species
AUCAUGGAAUACAUGUAUUUUAUAUAAAUUAUAAAUAUAUAAAAUAAUACUAUUAAUAGUAAUAUAGGUUACUAAUAAAAUAUUAAAUAUUAUUUAAUAUUUUUAAUACCUAAAGAGAAAUCUUUUAAUAUAUAUAUAUAUUAAUUAUAUAUAUAUAUUAUAUAAUAUAUACUAAGUGAACUGAAACAUCUUAUUAACUUAAGGAAAAGAAAUCAACAGAGAUAUUAUGAGUAUUGGUGAGAGAAAAUAAUAUAGUCUUAAUAAGUAUUAUAUAUUAAUUAUAUGUAAGAAUUAUAAUAAGAAUUAACAAAUUCUAAGACUAAAUACUAUUAAUAAGUUUAGAAAGUACCGUGAGGGAAAGUAUGUAAAUGGUUAUUUUAUAAGCAAUUAUAGAUAUUAUAUAUUAAUAUCAAUAAUGUACCUUUUGUAUAAUGGGUCAGCAAGUAAUUAAUAUUAGCAAAAAUAAAUAAUUUAUAUAAAAAUAGAAUAUUUUAAUAAAUAUAUAUAUAAUAAUAUAUUAAUAAGUUAAUAUUAAUUGACCCGAAAGCAUAUGAUCUUACCAUGACAAGAUGGUUAAAAACGAUCGAACAGGUUAAUGUUGCAAAAUUAUCUGAUUAGUUGUGGUAAGUUAUGAAAGAUAAAUCUGAUAUGCAGAUAGCUGGUUUUCUAUGAAAUAUAUGUUAGUAUAGCCCUCUUAAAUAAUAAUUAAUUAAUUUAAUUAAAUUAAUAGUAUGGUACAGCAAUUAAUAUAAACAUUAUAUAUUUUAUAUAUAAUGGUAUUGGGGAAUUAUUAUAAUUUUAUCAAUAAUAUUUAAUCUCGAAAUAUUUAAUUAAUAUUAAAUAUUUAUAUUUAAUAUAUUUAAGAGGAGUCAGAUUAUGUGCGAUAAGGUAAAUAAUCUAAAGGGAAACAGCCCAGAUUAAUAUAUAAAGUUCCUAAUUUUAUAAAAUAUAUAUUAAAAAUAUAUUUAAUCUAAUUUAUAAUUAGAUAAUAAUAAGUGAAAAUAAUAUUAAAAUAUUAUAAAAUAAUCAGUUAAUGGGUUUGACAAUAACCACUUUUUAAUGAACAUGUAACAAUGCACUGAUCAUAAAAUAAUAAUAAAUAAUAUUUCAAAACAUAUAUAUAUAUUUUAUAUAUAUAUGAUAAUAAACAAUAUACGGAUCUUAUUAAAUAAAAAUUAUUAAACUGAAUAUUUAAAUAAUUAUAGUAUUUUAUAUAUUAUAAUUAUGGUAAUAGAACAUCUAAUGACAAAGUAUGAUAAUUAAAUAUUAUUAUAUUAAAUAAAUAAUUAGAUAGAGAAUGCUGACAUGAGUAACGAUAAAAAGGUUUAAACCUUUUCACCUAAAACAUAAGGUUUUACUAUAAAAGUACGGCCUCUAAUAUAAAUAUGAAUAUAAAUAUAUUAUAGAUGGAUAAAUACUAAAUAUAUAUAAAAUAUCUUUAUAAAUAAUAAUUAUUAUUAUUAUAAAUAAAUAAAGAUCAGGAAAUAUAUAUAUAUAAUAUACCGUAAUGUAGACCGACUCAGGUAUGUUAGUAGAGAAUAUGAAGGUGUAUUAGAUAAUUAAGGAUAAGGAACUCGGCAAAAAUAGCUCUAACGUUAGUCAAUAAAGAGAUAUAAAAACAAGGUUGUACAACUGUUUACUAAAAACACCGCACUUUGCAAAAACUAUAGGUUAUAGUAUAAGGUGUGAACUCUGCUCAAUGCUUAAUAUAUAAAUUAUAUAUAUAUAUAGAAUAUAUCACUAAAUUAAAGUAAAUAGCAGCCUUAUUAUGAGGGUUAUAAUGUAGCGAAAUUCCUUGGCUGAUAAUUACAGUCCCGCAUGAAUGACGUAAUGAUACAACAACUGUCUCAUCCUUAAUCUAAGUGAAAUUGAAUUUGCAGUGAAGAUGCUGUAUAUUUGUAGUUAGACAAGAAGACCCUAUGCAGCUUUACUAUAAUUAGAUAGAUCGAAUUAUUAUAUAUUAUAUUCAGCUAUAUUAAGUAAUAUAACAUCAGUUAUUAAUCGGUUAGAUAUAAAUGAGAUACUUAUUAUAAUAUUAUAAUAAUUCUAAUCUUUAAAAAUAAAAUAUUUAAUAGAAAAUAAUUCUUAAAUAUAUAUAUUAUAUAUAUAUUAUAUAUAUAUAUAAUUAAUUAAGAGACAAUCUCUAAUUGGUAGUUUUGAUGGGGCGUCAUUUUCAGCAAAAGUAUCUGAAUAAGUCCAUAUAUAAAUAAUAAAAUUAUUCUAAACUUUUAUAAAAUAUAUAUUAUAUAUAUUAAUUAUAAAAUAUAUUAUAUAGUAUUUAUAUUAUAUAAUAUAAUAAUAGAAAAAUUAUGUAUAGUAAAAUUGUCUGGAAAACAAUAAUAUUUAUGAAUUAUAAAUAUUAAAUUAAUAUAAUGGUAUAACUAUGCAAAGAUUAUAACACAAACAAGUGAAAUAAGUACGUAAGUAUGGCAUAAUGAACAAAUAACACUGAUUGUAAAGGUUAUUGAUAACGAAUAAAAGUUACGCUAGGGAUAACAGGGUAAUAUAACGAAAGAGUAGAAAUUGUAAGUUAUGUUUGCCACCUCGAUGUCGACUCUACCUAUCCUCUUGGUUGCAAAAGCUAAGAAGGGUUCGACUGUUCGUCGAUUAAAAGGUAACGUGAGUUGGGUUAAAUACGACGUGAGUCAGUAUGGUUUUUAUCUACUACAAAUAAUAUUAUCUAAUUAAGUCUCAUUAUUAGUACGCAAGGACCAUAAUGAAUUAACCUAUGGUGUAUCUAUUAAUUAUUAUAAUAUAAUAAUAAAAACAUAAUUUAUUAUAAUUAUUAUAUUCUAUAUAUAUUUAUAUAUAAAUAAUAGUUACAGUAGAUAAGCUAAGUUAAUAAAUAAUAAAUAUUGAAUACAUAUAAAAUAUGAAGUAGUCUUAAGAAUGAUAAUUAUACUAAUAAUUUUAUACUAAAAUUUAUAAAUUUAAAUAGGUUUUAUAUAUAUAUAAUAUACAUAAAAUACUAAUUUAUUAGUCAUCUAUAUAAUAUCUAAU